CCUACGGGUGGCAGCAGUGAGGAAUAUUGGUCAAUGGGCGUAAGCCUGAACCAGCCAAGUCGCGUGAGGGAUGAAGGUUCUAUGGAUCGUAAACCUCUUUUAUAAGGGAAUAAAGUGCGGGACGUGUCCCGUUUUGUAUGUACCUUAUGAAUAAGGAUCGGCUAACUCCGUGCCAGCAGCCGCGGUAAUACGGAGGAUCCGAGCGUUAUCCGGAUUUCUUGGGUUUAAAGGGUGCGUAGGCGGCCUUUUACGUCGGCGGUGAAAGUAUGUGGCUCAACCAGGAGAGUGCGGCGCGAACUGGAUACCUUGAGUGCGCGGAAGGCAGGCGGAAUUCGUGGUGUAGCGGUGAAAUGCUUAGAUAUCACGAAGAACCCCGAUUGCGAAGGCAGCCUGCCGCAGCGUUACUGACGCUGAAGCUCGAAAGCGCGGGUAUCGAACAGGAUUAGAUACCCCAGUAGUC
rnacentral:rRNA from 1 species